UCUGUAAGCCUGCGAAGGUGUGCUGUGAGGCAUGCUGGAGGUAUCAGAAGUGCGAAUGCUGACAUAAGUAACGAUAAAGCGGGUGAAAAGCCCGCUCGCCGGAAGACCAAGGGUUCCUGUCCAACGUUAAUCGGGGCAGGGUGAGUCGACCCCUAAGGCGAGGCCGAAAGGCGUAGUCGAUGGGAAACAGGUUAAUAUUCCUGUACUUGGUGUUACUGCGAAGGGGGGACGGAGAAGGCUAUGUUGGCCGGGCGACGGUUGUCCCGGUUUAAGCGUGUAGGCUGGUUUUCCAGGCAAAUCCGGAAAAUCAAGGCUGAGGCGUGAUGACGAGGCACUACGGUGCUGAAGCAACAAAUGCCCUGCUUCCAGGAAAAGCCUCUAAGCAUCAGGUAACAUCAAAUCGUACCCCAAACCGACACAGGUGGUCAGGUAGAGAAUACCAAGGCGCUUGAGAGAACUCGGGUGAAGGAACUAGGCAAAAUGGUGCCGUAACUUCGGGAGAAGGCACGCUGAUAUGUAGGUGAAGUCCCUUGCGGAUGGAGCUGAAAUCAGUCGAAGAUACCAGCUGGCUGCAACUGUUUAUUAAAAACACAGCACUGUGCAAACACGAAAGUGGACGUAUACGGUGUGACGCCUGCCCGGUGCCGGAAGGUUAAUUGAUGGGGUCAGCGCAAGCGAAGCUCUUGAUCGAAGCCCCGGUAAACGGCGGCCGUAACUAUAACGGUCCUAAGGUAGCGAAAUUCCUUGUCGGGUAAGUUCCGACCUGCACGAAUGGCGUAAUGAUGGCCAGGCUGUCUCCACCCGAGACUCAGUGAAAUUGAACUCGCUGUGAAGAUGCAGUGUACCCGCGGCAAGACGGAAAGACCCCGUGAACCUUUACUAUAGCUUGACACUGAACAUUGAGCCUUGAUGUGUAGGAUAGGUGGGAGGCUUGGAAGUGUGGACGCCAGUCUGCAUGGAGCCGACCUUGAAAUACCACCCUUUAAUGUUUGAUGUUCUAACGUUGACCCGUAAUCCGGGUUGCGGACAGUGUCUGGUGGGUAGUUUGACUGGGGCGGUCUCCUCCUAAAGAGUAACGGAGGAGCACGAAGGUUGGCUAAUCCUGGUCGGACAUCAGGAGGUUAGUGCAAUGGCAUAAGCCAGCUUGACUGCGAGCGUGACGGCGCGAGCAGGUGCGAAAGCAGGUCAUAGUGAUCCGGUGGUUCUGAAUGGAAGGGCCAUCGCUCAACGGAUAAAAGGUACUCCGGGGAUAACAGGCUGAUACCGCCCAAGAGUUCAUAUCGACGGCGGUGUUUGGCACCUCGAUGUCGGCUCAUCACAUCCUGGGGCUGAAGUAGGUCCCAAGGGUAUGGCUGUUCGCCAUUUAAAGUGGUACGCGAGCUGGGUUUAGAACGUCGUGAGACAGUUCGGUCCCUAUCUGCCGUGGGCGCUGGAGAACUGAGGGGGGCUGCUCCUAGUACGAGAGGACCGGAGUGGACGCAUCACUGGUGUUCGGGUUGUCAUGCCAAUGGCACUGCCCGGUAGCUAAAUGCGGAAGAGAUAAGUGCUGAAAGCAUCUAAGCACGAAACUUGCCCCGAGAUGAGUUCUCCCUGACUCCUUGAGAGUCCUGAAGGAACGUUGAAGACGACGACGUUGAUAGGCCGGGUGUGUAAGCGCAGCGAUGCGUUGAGCUAACCGGUACUAAUGAACCGUGAG
rnacentral:rRNA from 1 species